UCAUUUAUAAUACCUUUAUUUAAUCUUAUUCACUCAUGAUCAUACUUCUCUUUUAUGAUUUCAAAGAUAUAAAAGGAAAAAAAAAGUACAUUUCAAAAUGAUAACAUAUAAAUUAUAACCAGGGGCGGAUCCAGGAUUUUCAGUGAGGGGUUCAAUAGUACAUAUACGGACUAGUCGAAGGGGGGUUCAGUAGUACAUAUACGGACUAGUCGAAGGGGGUUCAACCUCUAUUAUUUAUACAUAAAUUUUUUUUUUUUACCAUGUAAAAAUAGUAUAAUUUUCUGAUGAAGAGGAUUCAUCCGAACCCCCUGGAAUACAUGUACAUCCGCCAUUGAUUAUAUCGAUAUAAAAUUUCAUGCUAUAUUCAACAUAUAUGUCCUGUUGAAUUACUCACAAAUAACAUGACAACAUUAUCAUAAGUUCUCUAUUGACUCGAUCAUAAUUUAUUUCGAGAACAUAAAGUAAUAUGUCAUCUUCUAUUGCAUAGGUACAGUACAUAUGUCAUCUUCUAUUUUUGCAAUGCAACAUAUACAAAACAUACAUUAUACUAUAAUUAAUGGGCUUUAGUUUGUAUUUGGGCUUUUGUCCUCAUCUUAUAUGAGCAAGAUAUUUUCAUUCUACUUUUUAUGUUUAUUUAUCUCUUCAAUUAUCCUUUUUGCAUCCCUUUCUCAUGACUCUGGUUUUUCAUCCUCAAAAUAUAUUAUUCCCAAAUUCUUGUUGGAGAAAAAAAAAUUCUAAAGGAUUUAGAAGAUUACAAAUUGUGAAUGCCCAAAAUUAUAAGAAGAAAUGCUUGAGGUGCAAUACUUUUUAUGAAGACAAAGAUAAUUCCCCCAUUGCAUGCUCUUUCCAUGGCCACACAAAUGGUUCGAAGGUGGUGUAGCUCAAAGGACAAAUCGUUUAGUUUGACAUAGUGGAAAAUACGUGCCAUGUUCUUGGGCUGUGACGAUGGGAGUUUCCAAGGGUAGUCCGCGGUACAUUUUGACAUUGAAUUGCCACGAUUUGUGUUCUGUUUUGGGCUGGACUCUGGAGCUAUGAACAUUUGCAUUUGAUGAUCUCAGGAGAUAAAGGACUAUUUUCCCUGGCACCACCCCACCAAGGAAUCGAUGGAGAAUGGAGCGAUGAAUCUGGAGUAAUCGUCUACAAAUGGAACGACAAAGAUAACAGGCCGAAUACAGGAAGAGAAAAUUGGAAAAAGAGAUGGAGUUGCUGUGCUGAAUAUGAUGAAAAUGCUCUACCUUGUAGGCAAGGAUGGCAUGUUUCGUAUGAUGAUGGUUUCACAUUAUAUUAGUACAGUCAAAUCCCGCAAUAACGAGAUGGUGUUAUAUAUGUAUAUUGACAGACAGACUGACAUUUGACGUUUACAUCUCUUUUAGUGAAAUGUUAUAGCGAAUGGUUGUUAUAACAAGGUCUGACUGUAUAAGCGAGUUAGUUUCAAUUGCUGAGGAGAAUGCUAUGAUUCACAUAAUCUUGUACAAAUACAUCAAAGCAGCAAGAAUCUCGAACUGCUUUUAAAAGGGCAACCCAUUGCACUAAAGCUCAAGCUAUGCACAGGGUCCAGGGAAGGGUCCACCACAAGGGUGUAUUGUACGCAGCGCCUUACUUUGCAUUUCUGCUACAGGCUGUUUUCAAGGCUCGAACUGUUUUUAAGAAUCUUGUAAAUAAGAUUAGGGACAAAUUAUGUUGUUUAGCUACAGUAAUAUUGAACCUUUGAAAGUGUUGA